UACGUAGGGGGCAAGCGUUGUCCGGAUUUAUUGGGCGUAAAGAGCGUGUAGGCGGCUAGGUAGGUCCGUUGUGAAAACUCGAGGCUCAACCUCGAGCUGUCGAUGGAAACCAUCUAGCUAGAGUCCGGAAGAGGAGAGUGGAAUUCCUGGUGUAGCGGUGAAAUGCGCAGAUAUCAGGAGGAACACCGGUGGCGAAGGCGGUUCUCUGGGCCUGUACUGACGCUGAGGAACGAAAGCGUGGGGAGCGAACAGG
rnacentral:rRNA from 1 species